rnacentral:rRNA from 1 species
AUUGAACGCUGGCGGCAGGCCUAACACAUGCAAGUCGAACGAGUGGCGGACGGGUGAGUAAUGUCUGGGAAACUGCCUGAUGGAGGGGGAUAACUACUGGAAACGGUAGCUAAUACCGCAUACCAUCGGAUGUGCCCAGAUGGGAUUAGCUAGUAGGUGGGGGAAAGGCUCACCUAGGCGAAGAUCCCUAGCUGGUCUGAGAGGAUGACCAGCCACAAUGGAACUGAGACACGUUCCAGACUCCGACGGGAGGCAGCAGGGGGGAAUAGUGCACAAUGGGCGCAAGCCUGAUGCAGCCAUGCCGCGGGUAUGAAGAAGGCCUUCGGGUUGUAAAGUACUUUCAGCGGGGAGGCGUUACCCGCAGAAGAAGCACCGGCUAACUCCGUGCCAGCAGCCGCGGUAAUAC